AACGAACGCUGGCGGCAUGCCUAACACAUGCCAGUCGAACGAGACCUUCGGGUCUAGUGGCGCACGGGUGCGUAACGCGUGGGAACCUGCCCUUAGGUUCGGAAUAACUCCCCGAAAGGGGUGCUAAUACCAGAUAAUGUCUUCGGACCAAAGAUUUAUCGCCUUUGGAUGGGCCCGCGUUGGAUUAGCUAGUUGGUAGGGUAAAAGCCUACCAAGGCGACGAUCCAUAGCUGGUCUGAGAGGAUGAUCAGCCACACUGGGACUGAGACACGGCCCAGACUCCUACGGGAGGCAGCAGUGGGGAAUAUUGGACAAUGGGCGAAAGCCUGAUCCAGCAAUGCCGCGUGAGUGAUGAAGGCCUUAGGGUUGUAAAGCUCUUUUACCCGGGAUGAUAAUGACAGUACCGGGAGAAUAAGCUCCGGCUAACUCCGUG
rnacentral:rRNA from 1 species